rnacentral:rRNA from 1 species
GUUGGCUUCUCCUGGAAUAUAGGCAAUGGUAAGAGGGUGAGAUUCUAGGAGGAUCAUUGGUUUGGUAAUGCCACCUUAGCUACUCAGUAUUGAGACAUUUAUGUUUUAGCUAAUGAGCACAAUAUUACUAUUGAUAAAGUGUGGGAUGGAGUUACCCUCAAACUUUUAUUUUAG